GAGAGAGAGAGAGAGAGACUGUAGCAACAUGGUAACAUAAGGACGUGCGGCACAGGAAGCCAGGAUGGUUCAUAUUGGGCUCCAGACUUCUCCUGUCACUCUCCUUUUGUUCACACCAUUAUCAUCAUUAGGAGGGACUGGCUCAGUCAGCUGAGCGUUGGACUUCGGCUCAGGUCAUGAUUUCGGGGUCUACGAGUUCGAGCCGUGCGUCAGGCUCUGUCCUGACAGCUCAGAGCAUGGAGCCUGCUUUGGAUUCUGUGUCUCCCUCUCUCUGCCACCACCCCCCCCCAUUCAUUCUCUGUC